UACGGAGGGUGCAAACGUUGCUCGGAAUUAUUGGGCGUAAAGCGCACGUAGGCGGACCAUCAAGUCGGAUGUGAAAUCCCUCGGCUUAACCGAGGACGUGCACUCGAUACUGAUGGUCUUGAGUACGAAAGAGGAUCGCGGAAUUCCCGGUGUAGAGGUGAAAUUCGUAGAUAUCGGGAGGAACACCGGUGGCGAAGGCGGCUUCCUGGACCGACACUGACGCUGAGGCGCGAAAGCUAGGGGAGCAAACGGG
rnacentral:rRNA from 1 species